GGGCCCGUAGCUCAGCUAGGACAGAGCGCCGGCCUUCUAAGCCGGAGGUCCCGGGUUCAAAUCCCGGCGGGCCCG
rnacentral:tRNA from 1 species